ACUUGAUCUCAAAUCAGAUAAGAGUACCCGCUGAACUUAAGCAUAUCAAUAAGCGGAGGAAAAGAAACUAACAAGGAUUCCCUUAGUAACGGCGAGUGAAGCGGGAAGAGCUCAAAUUUGAAAUCUUCAAGGUUCUACCUUGACGAAUUGUAGUUUAAAGAAGUGUUUUCUGUUAGAUGAGUAGCAAAAGUUCCUUGGAAUGGGACAUCAUAGAGGGUGAGAAUCCCGUAUUUGGUUAUUCAUUCUAGCUUUGUGAUACACUUUCAAAGAGUCGGAUUGUUUGGGAAUGCAGUCCAAAAUGGGUGGUAAAUUUCAUCUAAAGCUAAAUAUUGGCGAGAGACCGAUAGCGAACAAGUACCGUGAGGGAAAGAUGAAAAGAACUUUGAAAAGAGAGUUAAACAGUACGUGAAAUUGUCAAAAGGGAAGCGUUUGACACCAGUGUUGUUUUUCCGAAAAUCAAUUACGAAUGGCUUGAUUUUGUGUUGUAUUGACCUUAUCAGCUUUCUUCACUUUUUUCGAGUCUUUCUUAAUGCACUUUUCGGUUAACAAGUCAACAUCAAUUUCUUUUGUUGUAAAAGAGUAUUCGGAAGGUGGCUUUCUUUUCGGAGAAAGUGUUUAUAGCCCUAUACUUCUACAAUCGGAGAGAUUGAGGUCUGCAGCGUAGAUCCUUCGGGGUUAGAUACAUUUGUGCUAAGUUGUAGCUUUUCAUAGACAACUUGUUGACUAUGUUUAGUCAUGCGGCUUACUCGCUUAUGCUAUUUUACCUACGCUUAGGUUGUUGACAAAAUGGUUUUAAACGACCCGUCUUGAAACACGGACC
rnacentral:rRNA from 1 species